rnacentral:misc_RNA from 1 species
GAUGAAGAACGUAGCGAAAUGCGAUAAGUAGUGUGAAGUGCAGAAUUCAGUGAAUCAUCGAAUCUUUGAACGCACAUUGCGCCCCAUGGUAUUCCGUGGGGCAUGCCUGUUCGAGCGUCAUUUACCCCCUCAAGCUCCGCUUGGUGUUGGGCGUCUGUCCCGCUUCGCGCGCGGACUCGCCCCAAAGGUAUUGGCAGCGGUCGUGCCAGCUUCUCGCGCAGCACAUUGCGCUUCUCGAGGCACCGGUGGGCCCGCGUCCAUCAAGCUCACCCCCCCAGUUUGACCUCGGAUCAGGUAGGGAUACCCGCUGAACUUAAGCAUAUCAAUAAGCGGAGGA